UCAUAUACAGAUCAUGUUAGAAAUAUGGGUUUGAUUAGUUCUUUCGAUGUAUAAAAUUGUAAUACUUAUUUUCUUUCAAUAAAGUUAAAGUUUAUGCAGCUGUGUUGGACCAUUUAAUAGGCAUAAAGUUUCGCCUAUUAAUGAAUGAACAUACAGUUUAAGUUCAUUCAUAAAGUUGUGCCAUAUAAAGUACUCGGCUAGGAGGUGAAGAUGAUACGGUAAUUAUGGAAGAAAAAUUUCGUUAUGAAGAGAUGGACCGCCAUAGUUCCUAUCAUUGUAGUCUUUUAGUUUGAGCUAAAGAUCAAGUGAGUUCUAAGGUAUUUAACCAUAAAGUUUCCAAUAAUGCGCAAUAA
rnacentral:lncRNA from 1 species